CUUUUUUACCAUUAGUAUUAUCCUGUCAUUACCUUCAUUCAGCAGUUUAUCUAAAUCACCGAUUUGGCAAUUUCCUUUUGUGGUCUUAAUCAGUCCUGCUGAACUGUUAUCUUUAGGCAGAUUAGAUAGUGUUUCUAUACCAUUUAGUACCAUCUUGCUAUCAUCUCCACUUAGAAACUUAUUUUUAUUACUGAUUGACUCCACU